GUAAAGGCUUUUUUGAAAUCCACCAAGAUAUUAACAAAAGUGAUUU
rfam:Camelus ferus unplaced genomic scaffold scaffold623, whole genome shotgun sequence.